AUACAGAACGGUAAACUCCAGGUCAGAUACAGAACGGUAAACUCCAGGUCAGAUACAGAACGGUAAACUCCAGGUCAGAUACAGAACGGUAAACUCCAGGUCAGAUACAGAACGGUAAACUCCAGGUCAGAUACAGAACGGUAAACUCCAGGUCAGAUACAGAACGGUAAACUCCAGGUCAGAUACAGAACGGUAAACUCCAGGUCAGAUACAGAACGGUAAACUCCAGGUCAGAUACAGAAAAGGUAAACUCCCAGUUCUGUCCAUGACCCGGUCUGCACAGCAUGCAUUCCGUUAUCUCUCUCCUU